rnacentral:misc_RNA from 1 species
GGAGGAGGACGCCGAAGGUGGGGCUAAUGACUGGGGUGAAGUCGUAACAAGGUAGCCGUACCGGAAGGUGCGGCUGGAUCACCUCCUAACAGGGAGACAACAAAAUGUUUAAUAUUAUUUUGUCACCUUAGGUCGAUCGGUAUCUCACGUUCUUAAUUUAUUAAGAAUUUCAUUUCCUAAGUUUUUCUAGGUCACACCCAUUAUUUUUCCUGGGCCAUUAGCUCAGGUGGUUAGAGCGCACCCCUGAUAAGGGUGAGGUCCCUGGUUCAAGUCCAGGAUGGCCCAUAUCUCUAUGUUGGGGGUAUAGCUCAGUUGGUAGAGCGCCUGCUUUGCAAGCAGGAUGUCAGCGGUUCGAGUCCGCUUACCUCCACUGAUUACCACCUCUUGCAUAAUCUAAUGAAAGGAAAUGUUUUGAGUUGUGACCAAAUUCUGAACGAUUCUAGCUUCUUAAUGAAAUCAUUAAGAUGCUGGACUCAUUGAAUUAAUUUCAUUGUUUUCAGAGAACCUUGACAACUGCAUAGAUUAUUUUAAAGACAAUAAGCAUUUUUAAUGAUGCAGAUUUAUUAUUUGUGCGAAUGCAUUAAUAACAAUUCUAUUAAGCUGAUGCUUCAAUUUUGAAGUUAUUGGUCAAGCUACAAAGGGCUCACGGAGGAUACC